ACUUCAUUGCAUAAUGCGGUAGAAAGUGAAUUGGCAGCAGAAACACCCUGCUCAGGAACAAGUGUCUUGAUUCUCAGCAAAGAGGACAAAGAGAAGCAGCAAGCUGUAAGGGGUGAAGGCUGGACUGCGGUCAAGGUCUGCCAUGGUGAGGAGGCAUAGCAGCAAGUACCAGACAUUAAGCUGACAGCUCACAGUCUGAAGUGCAAGUGUGAAGCCGGCAAGAACAUAACAUGAAGUGGGGUGAGACUAUAAGCACUCUAAAUCUGUCCCCAUUGACCCACUCCAUCAAGGCUCUAUCUUCUGAACCUCCCAAACAGCGCCACUAACUUGGGCCAAUUGUUCAAAUUCUCGAGACUAUGGGAAACUUUUCUUAUUAAAACCAUUCUCAAUGUUAAA